GCCUGGGUAGUGUAGAGGUAGAAGCACUUGCCUACCACUGCAGAGACCCGGGUUCAAUCCCCGGCAGCGGUA
rnacentral:tRNA from 1 species